rnacentral:misc_RNA from 1 species
CUGAUUUUGUCAUGUUAGGUAGAGUCUCUUAGGAGAUUCCUUAACUGGCGAUAUACCACUGUGCACCGAAUGUAUUUUGGGUCUUGGCUAGACUUGUCGAACCGAGGCCCAGCAAUAUGAACCAAUGAAAUUUUUGUCUAAAAAAUCUAUAAAAUAGAAA